CCUACCAUGUCCACAGAAUGCAAGGGAACACGAAGGCCACACACGAGGUGCAGAAAAGGGACUGGCAGCGCCUGGCAUUCAAUCUCUGCUUCUGAGAAAUUGCAUCAAACUUCCUCCUAAUAGGACAAUUUAGACACCCCAAGGCUUACCCAUUCCUCUCUCUCUUUCCUGAUAGGAGCACUGUGGCAGGACCUGCCAGACCUCUGGUGUCCCCAGAUCCUGCACAGAGACAAGCAUGUUGCUUAUGUUACUGAAUUAGAAACAAAACUGCCUUCCUGCCUAAAGACAUCUACCACAGCAGCUACACAGAAAGAAAUGAGCAACCCACCCCCAUACACACACACACACACACACACACACACACACACACACACACACACACAAACCUCUUCCGGAAGAGGCAGCUGAGACUGCUCACUCUAAGGAGAAAUUAAUUCCGCCCAGAAAUAAAUCCCCAUUGCACUGGCCCAGGAGACCGUUAGCAACUGUGGUUACCCCCAGGCAGGUUCUCCCUGCGAAGGCUGGGUUGACUCACUGCUCCAAUCUCCUCCCCUCACAGCAGUUUGCCUGAGCCUGAGGGAUGGCCAGCAAUUAUAGAAGGCUAAAUAUUUCAGCAGCCCAGAGGGGGCUUCCCAGCAGCCAACAGGAAGCCAUUUUUCUUCCUCCUAAACUGUUUAUUAAAAUACAGAGUUAAACCCAGCGAGGGAAAACAUUUCCUACCUCUGCCUGCAAUUAACCAGCUAUUGCAAUACCGAAGUUUUGUGCACACUGUUAGGCAAUAACACUUUUUGGGAGGAACCCUGAGAGUUCCCAAUACAGAAUCAACUGGAUUCGGGUUCCAACCUAUUCAAGAACUAGCCAGUAGAUGGUCUGUGAGACAUUGCUCUCUGAACUUCAAGGCCAAUAGGCUGGCACAGCAACACCUUCCUGUCAAGUACAGCGCUGCCUACAUGAGAGCCAAGGGCAACCCCAGACAGCUGCUGUGACCAAAAGCUUCUCUCCCAUUCUCCACAAUAGUGCGUGUGUUGCUCAGGCUCUGGGUGACCGGGAUAGCAGGAGGUACAGUCUGCCCAGUGACAGAGCGUGGAUUCUUAUUGUUAGACGUCACCAUGGUAAACCUGGUCCCCAUCCAUGGCAGGAUUAAGAAAGGACAUUCUGCACAGCUGACUGCUCGUGGCGAACACAUCUCCUUGGGAGCUUCUGGAGGAUGGCGCGUCGUUUCCAAGAGAUUCCUUGAGAAUGCAGUAGAUAUUUUAUACUCUUGGAUAUCGGUGGGAGUCGAUGAUAACUGUCAUCAUCGGGAUGGGAUCUAGGUGAACUGGGCCCCUGAGCAUGCCUGGGAGGGAAUGUUUUCAUUCUGUA
rnacentral:lncRNA from 1 species